rnacentral:lncRNA from 1 species
AAAAUAAACUACGUAUCACUUAAAAUUUUUGAAAUAUCUUAUGUAACCCCUAUCUUUUUUUUUGUUUCAAAUAUAUCCUUCGUAUAUUUCUCUAUUACUCAAAAAUAACUUGCUUUAGUACCCAUUAAAUUAUUCCAAAUUAAACCCAGAUUAAAUUUCUACCAGAGUUAAAAAAGAGUCAAAAUACUUAUUUUGUCCCUAACUUACUAAUCUAUUUUCUUACUUUCUUAUUUAUCCCGCUUAGAAGGCUUUAUAUGAAAAAUAUUCUUCAAAUGUUACAAGUUCUUUUAAAUUUACUUCUAGAAAAGUGGGUAAUGGUAGAAGAGAAUAUUUAAAUGAUUAAAAUAGUAAUUUUAUAGAGACGAUGAUUGUUCCUAAUGAUUCACUAACAGAAUUUAGCUUUAGGAGAAUAUUUAACAAAACUCGAAAUGUUAGAGGAGUACUUUCCAUAUUAACCUUCUAAGCGGGAUAAAUAAAAAAGUUUGAAAUUUUUCAUGGGUAUAUAAGCAAUUACCCCUUAAUUGAACGUUUCAGUAUAACUGGAUUCACUGUAGUUGUUGUGUUAUAUAGUACUGAAAAAUACUACAUGUACACCUCUUUAUAAGGUGUG